UUGUGGAGGAGGACGCCGAAGGUGGGGCUAAUGACUGGGGUGAAGUCGUAACAAGGUAGCCGUACCGGAAGGUGCGGCUGGAUCACCUCCUAACAGGGAGACAACAAAAUGUUAAAUAUUAUUAUUUUGUCACCUUAGGUCGAUCGGUAUCUCACGUUCUUAAUUUAUUAAGAAUUUCAUUUCCUAAGUUUUUCUAGGUCACACCCAUUAUUUUUCCUGGGCCAUUAGCUCAGGUGGUUAGAGCGCACCCCUGAUAAGGGUGAGGUCCCUGGUUCAAGUCCAGGAUGGCCCAUAUCUCUAUGUUGGGGGUAUAGCUCAGUUGGUAGAGCGCCUGCUUUGCAAGCAGGAUGUCAGCGGUUCGAGUCCGCUUACCUCCACUGAUUACCACCUCUUCCAUAACCGGUAGAAAGGAAAUGUUUUGAGUUGUGAUUAUUAUUCUGAACGAAUCUAGCUUCCUAAUGAAAUCAUUAAGAUGCUGGACUCAUUGAAUUAAUUUCAUUGUUUUCAGAGAACCUUGACAACUGCAUAGAUUAUUUUUAAAGACAAUAAGCAUCUUUAAUGAUGCAGAUUUAUUAUUUGUGCUAAUGCAUUAAUAACAAUUCUAUUGAGCUGAUGCUUCAAUUUUGAAGUUAUUGGUCAAGCUACAA
rnacentral:misc_RNA from 1 species